rnacentral:rRNA from 1 species
UUCAACAAUGGAUCUCUUGGUUCCGGCAUCGAUGAAGAACGCAGCGAACUGCGAUAAGUAAUGUGAAUUGCAGAAUUCAGUGAAUCAUCGAGUCUUUGAACGCACAUUGCGCCCCCUGGCAUUCCGGGGGGCAUGCCUGUCCGAGCGUCAUUGCUGC